rnacentral:rRNA from 1 species
UUGAACGCUGGCGGCAUGCCUUACACAUGCAAGUCGAACGCGAAAAGGGGGCAACCCCUGAGUAGAGUGGCGAACGGGUGAGUAAUACAUCGGAACGUGCCCAGUAGCGGGGGAUAACCUCUCGAAAGAGAGGCUAAUACCGCAUACGUCCUACGGGAGAAAGAAGGGGAUCGCAAGACCUCUCACUAUUGGAGCGGCCGAUGUCGGAUUAGCUAGUUGGCGGGGUAAUGGCCCACCAAGGCAACGAUCCGUAGCUGGUCUGAGAGGACGACCAGCCACACUGGAACUGAGACACGGUCCAGACUCCUACGGGAGGCAGCAGUGGGGAAUUUGGACAAUGGGCGCAAGCCUGAUCCAGCCAUGCCGCGUGAGUGAAGAAGGCCUUCGGGUUGUAAAGCCCUUUCGGCUGGGACGAAAAGGUCUGCGCUAACACCGCGGAUCCAUGACGGUACCAGCAGAAGAAGCACCGGCUAACUACGCGCCAGCAGCCGCGGUAAUACGUAGGGGGCAAGCGUUGUCCGGAUUUAUUGGGCGUAAAGAGCGUGUAGGCGGCUUUGCAAGUCCGUUGUGAAAACUCGAGGCUCAACCUCGAGACGCCGGUGGAAACUGCAAAGCUAGAGUCCGGAAGAGGAGAGUGGAAUUCCUGGUGUGGCGGUGAAAUGCGCAGAUAUCAGGAAGAACACCCGUGGCGAAGGCGGCUCUCUGGGACGGUACUGACGCUGAGACGCGAAAGCGUGGGGAGCGAACAGGAUUAGAUACCCUGGUAGUCCACGCCGUAAACGAUGGGUGCUAGGUGUGGGCGGUGUCGACUCCGUCCGUGCCGAAGCUAACGCAUUAAGCACCCCGCCUGGGGAGUACGGCCGCAAGGCUAAAACUCAAAGGAAUUGACGGGGGCCCGCACAAGCGGUGGAGCAUGUGGUUCAAUUCGACGCAACGCGCAGAACCUUACCUGGGUUAAAUCCACUAGAAGGCGACAGAGAUGUUGCUUUGCCCUUCGGGGAGCUAGUGAGAAGGUGCUGCAUGGCUGUCGUCAGCUCGUGUCGUGAGAUGUUGGGUUAAGUCCCGCAACGAGCGCAACCUCUGUCGUUAGUUGCCAGCCUUAAGUGGGGCACUCUAACGAGACUGCCGACGUCAAGUCGGAGGAAGGUGGAGAUGACGUCAAGUCCUCAUGGCCCUUAUGCCCAGGGCUACACACGUGCUACAAUGGACAGUACAAAGGGCUGCAAAGCCGCGAGGUGGAGCUAAUCCCAAAAAACUGUCCUCAGUUCGGAUUGUAGUCUGCAACUCGACUACAUGAAGCUGGAAUCGCUAGUAAUCGCCGAUCAGCACGCGGCGGUGAAUACGUUCCCGGGCCUUGUACACACCGCCCGUCACACCAUGGGAGUCAGUUGCUCUAGAAGUCGGUGCGCCAACCUCGUGAGGCAGCCGCCUAAAGAGUGACUGGUGACUGGGGUG